AGAAGAGCGUGCCGUGGGAGGCGUGAGAGGACAGGAGGAGCAUAAAGAGGAGGUGGAGGAGGAGGAGGAGGAAGAGGAGGAGACAUGAAAGGAAUGAAAGUAAAAACGUUACUACUUAUUCCCUUUAACCUCAGUAGUAGUAGUAGUAGUAGUAGUAGUAGUAGUAGUAGAAGUCACAGCAGUAAUAGUAGUAGUAGUAGUAAUUGGCGCGCACACACACACACACACACACACACACACACACACACACACACACACACACACACACACACACACACACACACACACACACACACAGGCCGUCACGUACACUGUUGCCUUGAUCAGAAGGGUGGGGAGGACUGGCGAGGCGUGACCCAGCCAGGCCUUCGUGCAUCCAGGCUGUGACUCGUCAUUACCAAGGACAAGUUUGGAAGCUCACAUAUAUAGUUAUUUUUUAUGGUUAAGGAGCAGCCCAGGUAAACACAGCAGUAUGGAGAUCUCUUGGUUAGUGUUCGGUGUUGGUUUAGAAUGUAAGUAAAUCGUUGAAGCCAUGAAGGAAGGGUUUGUAGGAAAGCGCUUCAGUGGGUUUGAGAAUGGAAAUGAAAGGUUAAUUUUGAAGCAGUAUGGAAAUCCCUUGAUAAGUGUUCGGUGUGUAUUUAGAAUGUAAGAAAACUGUUGAAGCCACGCAGGAAUUGUCUGUAGGAAAGCGCUUCAGUGGGUUUGAGAAUGGAAAUGAAAGGUUAAUUUUGAAGCAGUAUGGAAAUCCCUUGAUAAGUGUUCGGUGUGUAUUUAGAAUGUAAGAAAACUGUAGAAGCCAUGCAGGAAGGGUCUGUAGGAAAGCGCUUCAGUGGGUUUGAGAAUGGAAUUGAAAGGUUAAUUUUGAUGUAGUAUGGAAAUCCCUUCGUAAGUGUUCGGUGUUGGUUUAGAACGUAAGGAAACUGUAGAAGCCAUGCUGGAAAGGUCUGUAGGAAAGCGCUUCAGUGGGUUUGAGGAUGAAAAUGAAAAGUUAAUUUUGAUGUAGUAUGGAAAUCCCUUGAUAAGUGUUCGGUGUUGGUUUAGAAUGUAAGAAAACUGUAGAAGCCACGCAGGAAUUGUCUGUAGGAAAGCGCUUCAGUGGGUUUGAGAAUGGAAAUGAAAAGUUAAUUUUGAUGUAGUAUGGAAAUCCCUUGAUAAGUGUUCGGUGUUGGUUUAGAAUGUAAGUAUAUCGUCGAAGCCAUGCAGGAAAGGUCUGUAGGAGGGCUCUUCAGUACGUUUGAUGAUGGACAUGAAAGGUUAGUUUUGAAGCAGUAUGCAAAUCCCUUGGUAAAUAUUCGGUGUUGGUUUAGAAUAAGUGAGACAAUUGUUGAAGCCAUGCAGGAAGGGUCUGUAGGAGAGCUCUUCAGUACGUUUGAUGAUGGAGAUGAAAGGUUAGUUUUGAAGCAGUAUGCAAAUCCCUUGGUAAAUAUCCGGUGUUGGUUUAGAAUGAGUGAGACAGUUGUUGAAGCCAUGCAGGAAGGGUCUGUGGGAAAGCUAUUCGAUGGAUUGGAUGAUGAAGAUUAUAGGCAAAGUUUGACAAGCCGGAUUCGUAGCUAUUAUGGGCACGCUAAUCACUGCACCACGGAGCCGCUAUAUAGAAGGUAGGGAGGUAGAAGAUUCGAGGAAGCCAUUCAGGAAAGCUCUCAAGUAUUGUAUGUCCAGGAGAAAGGAAUGACUGCUGGGAGAAUAUCGGGUGGUUCAGCGCUUAGACAUGCUACUCACUGCACCACGGAGCCGCUAUAUAGAAAGUAGGGAGGUAGAAGAUUCGGGGAAGCCAUUCAGGAAAGCUCUCAAGUAUUGUAUGUCCAGGAGAAAGGAAUGACUGUUGGAAGAAUAUCGGGUGGUUCAGCGCUUAGACAUGCUACUCACUGCACCACGGAGCCGCUAUAUAGAACGUAGGGAGGAAGAAGAUUCGAGGAAGCCAUUCAGGAAAGCUCUCAAGUAUUGUAUGUCCAGGAGAAAGGAAUGACUGUUGGGAGAAUAUCGGGUGGUUCAGCGCUUAGACAUGCUACUCACUGCACCACGGAGCCGCUGUAUAGAAGGUAGGGAGGAAGAAGAUUCGGGGAAGCCAUUCAGGAAAGCUCUCAAGUAUUGUAUGUCCAGGAGAAAGGAAUGACUGUUGGGAGAAUAUCGGGUGGUUCAGCGCUUAGACAUGCUACUCACUGCACCACGGAGCCGCUAUAUAGAAAGUAGGGAGGUACAAGAUUCGGGGAAGCCACUGCUGGGGAGAAUAUCGGGUGGUUCAACGCUUGCGCCAAUAUAUCCUCUCAGUCAUCCCGAAGGCUCCUGGGAACACAUUUUUAAACAAUCAUUUAGGGUAGGCGGUGGCUCAGUGGUAGCGUGCUGGGCCCACAUUCACCGCGAGUUUGAAUCCCCACGCUACCACCUUGGAUUUUUCAGUCACCGCCGAGUGGCUUAAAACUACCCACAUGCUGUUCCGAAGACCAGCCAUCAACCCGGACUCUAGAGGAAACCGUCCAAGUGAAUCAAGGAGUUCCGGGGGGCAGCAUGAGCCAAGAGAAGAUGGCGCCACUAUAAACACUUGCCUGCGCCAUGACGGGGUGGGGCCGACUACCAUCCAG